GUCUAUAGGUGUCCUAGGUUUAAUUGCUUUCUAACUUGAUUGCAAUUAACACUUAACCACAACUGAUUCUUCUCAUCUAUCAUCUCUAGGUCUAGGACUUUCUUAAGGUUCUCACCUUUAGAACUUCUCUCUUUCUUCUUUUUCUCUUUUCUUUCUCUCUCUUCUUAAAAAAUAAAUAAAAAAUAAAAAAAUAAAUAUAAAUAUAAACCACACACAUUAGGAUUUGCACUGGUACAUGC
rnacentral:lncRNA from 1 species